rnacentral:rRNA from 1 species
UACAGGGGGUGCAAACGUUGCUCGGAAUUAUUGGGCGUAAAGCGCGCGUAGGCGGCUACUUAAGUCGGAUGUGAAAGCCCCUGGCUCAACUGGGGAAGUGCACCCGAAACUGAGUAGCUAGAGUGCAAAAGAGGGUCGCGGAAUUCCCGGUGUAGAGGUGAAAUUCGUAGAUAUCGGGAGGAACACCGGUGGCGAAGGCGGCGACCUGGGUUGACACUGACGCUGAGGCGCGAAAGCGUGGGGAGCAACCAGG